GCCGCCGAGGUAGCUUUCAUCACACGAUCUGGGGCGCAGGAUUCCACACGCCCCCCCCCCCCCCCCAAGAAAACAAGCGUCCCAAGGAAAAAAAAAAUUCAAACUGCACUCGCGGACCAAUGGGAAAGAAGCGAGAGGAGGGAGGAGCCAGCGGGGCGGGGCGGGCGCCAGGGCUGGUACCGCAGGGGAUGCGUAAAAACACGGCGGGCGCACGGUUUGGGGUUUUUUUUUUUUUUUUCCUCCAAAACUAGCUAAAAGCCCGAGACUCCGCCCGAAGCUGCAGCCUCUCGGAUCCACCUUAAAUCUUCAGUGGACUCGGCGCCGGGUCAGAAAAAGCUUCGGAAGAACAAGUGUCUACGCUAACAAGGGUGAAGAUGAAAUGGCGAAGGCAACGUUCCUCGGCAUCCGGGAAAGGUCCUGGCGCGCGGCCGGUGGGCGCACCGUGGCCUGAAAGGCCGCGCGCCCCGCUCCCCUCCUGUAGAUUUCCACGGUCCCCUUCGUCUGCAAUCACGCCCCUGGACCCACAGUUUUCUGGUUCUUCCCUGCUCUGCCUUGAUCCCCUUCAUUGGGCAGCGGGGAUGCGACCGGGGGACUUGGCAGAGCGGGUGUAA